ensembl:snoRNA SNORD113-4 small nucleolar RNA, C/D box 113-4
UGGAUCAAUGAUGAGUUCCAUGGGGUAUCUGAAACAGGAGUUUUGAUUAAACCCGUAAGUGAUUCUGAGGUCCAU